UACGUAGGCAGCGAGCGUUGUUCGGAGUUACUGGGCGUAAAGGGUGUGUAGGCGGUUGUUUAAGUUUGGUGUGAAAUCUCCCGGCUCAACUGGGAGGGUGCGCCGAAUACUGAAUGACUAGAGUGCGGGAGAGGAAAGUGGAAUUCCUGGUGUAGCGGUGAAAUGCGUAGAUAUCAGGAGGAACACCGGUGGUGUAGACGGCUUUCUGGACCGUAACUGACGCUGAGACACGAAAAGCGUUGGGGUAGCAAAACAGG
rnacentral:rRNA from 1 species